CUCGUCUCACGCCGUAGGCGAAAAGGUUCAGUUCGCGUCGAUCGCUGACGGCGUGCGGUUGGCAGUUAAUCGGUGCGGAACGAUCCGAAGUACAACGCGAAGUAAGAUGAAAGUGCGUUUAAUUAAAAUUGCCUGAUACACGAAAUCGACGGCUAAUUGUAAAACUAGCCACGCAAAGUUGGCGUUUUUUGAUCAGUGCUUUAACGGCCGCUUUCCGAUCGAACGCCUAACGGCUGGCUGACCCGUCUUCGAAAUCAUUCGCCGCGCACUUCACGCCGGUACGCGGAGGCUACGUGAUCGAAAUUUCACGUCCGGAUAACAAAGUCACCCCGAAUUCGUAUCCGUUCUCGAAUAUGUCGAUCGUUUCACCGGUUUUUUCAUCCAUCUCAAGAUCGCAGACUGUUUUGUUUUUCAGUAAAGUGCCGAGAUAUGACACGUAUCGUUGUUUGUCGGGAAUAACUACGAUCCGUUGAACGGGUUCAAUAUUUUGCGUUGUGAUGAGAGAGAGAGAGAGAGAGAGAGAGAGACACAGGGAGAGCAAAAAAAAAUCGUAAACAUCCGAAGAUCACGCGAGUAUAAUCCUGCUUGUUUUACGCUCACCAGUGAACACAUAAAUACAUGAAACCCAUAAAACCGUGUUCGAUUUGAAUACCUUUUCUAAAUAACGAGACUAAUAGAAUAAAGUAAUUGCAUAAAUAGCCUCGCGCGCUUCUUCGUCAACAAUUCCUUCCUGAAACCAGCUAUAUAUUGGUUAUGACUCGACGAUGCUGAAAGGUCAUUUAGGUGCACGAAGAGUAGAAGAAGAAGAAGAAACCUCUCGGAUCGAGAUGAAGGUGCUGCCAUAGAAACCGGAAGUUGAGUAAAACGGAAAAUCUUUUCGAAGAGCGUGAAAAGCCGAGGGGGAACGCGACGCCGGGGAUAAAACAGCGGCGGUAAUUCCGGAUGAAGCCGGUGCGGAGCACCUGCCAGAUCAUCCGGACAUUUCGACGGGUGGUUGCAGCUUGGAUGCAGCCGGCGCAACGACUCUCUUCUCUCCGAGGAGAUGCUGGUGCAGCUGAGCAGCUAAGAUGUGACGUCACGGUGGCCGCCCGGUCUCGGGACUAAUAUGGCAAACCGGUCAACCGGUCUGACGAUCCCCGGUUUCGAACCAGCUCCUCCUUCACCGUCUGCCGGAUAACUGUUCAAAAAGAUCGGAACCAUCGCGCGGCAUCGCCUGCUUGCUCUUUAACGUCAAUUUUAUUUUUACUUUUACGUAAUAAUUGCUCGAUUUCGGAUUUUUUGGUAGACAUCGCAUCCUGAGUCGUGAAAUGUUACACGAUCGAAAGAUGCCUACGACAUUUUUUAUCUUAACAAUUAUCUUUUUCUUUUUUCAACAAACAAUUUCCCCAAUCAUUUUUCGUUACAUGGUUUUCGAGUCUUACUAGUUCAACCGUUGUUACAGUAUAAUUAAUUACUAGUGCGGUAUUGUUCAGCCGGAAUUGGAAUUACCACUUUUCUCAGACUCAUUUUUUUUUUUUUUUGAAUAUAAUUGAAACACCUUUGGCUGGCAAUUGUUCAUUAAUAUUACAUUUUAUAUUUCUUCUCGUAGGAGGUAGAAUGUAUAAUGAGCUCCGUUUUUUUUUUGCAUAGUCUCAAGAACUGUAAUAAAAUUUGAAGCCAGAUAUCUUGAGUCUGAAAAUUCGAUCAUCAAUAUUUCGGAAAACAAUCACAAUACGUGACUGGGAAAAUGUUUACACAUUGUACAUAUAAUAUUUUCACUAUUUUUUAUUCAAAAUUGAUUCAGACCGUUUCCAUUCACGGAUGACACUGUUGUAAUAAUUUAUUUAUAAAUAACCUAGAACCUCAAGUUACAAGUACGAAGGAAUAAAAUGUUAAUAAAUUUGAAGAAAAACCGAA
rnacentral:lncRNA from 1 species